UACGUAGGUGGCAAGCGUUAUCCGGAUUUACUGGGUGUAAAGGGCGUGUAGCCGGGCUGACAAGUCAGAUGUGAAAUCCGGGGGCUCAACCCCCGAACUGCAUUUGAAACUGUUGGUCUUGAGUAUCGGAGAGGCAGGCGGAAUUCCUAGUGUAGCGGUGAAAUGCGUAGAUAUUAGGAGGAACACCAGUGGCGAAGGCGGCCUGCUGGACGACAACUGACGGUGAGGCGCGAAAGCGUGGGGAGCAAACAGG
rnacentral:rRNA from 1 species